rnacentral:rRNA from 1 species
UACGUAGGGGGCAAGCGUUGUCCGGAAUUAUUGGGCGUAAAGAGCGUGUAGGCGGUCCGGUAAGUCAGCUGUGAAAGUCAAGGGCUCAACCCUUGAAAGCCGGUUGAUACUGUCGGGCUAGAGUCCGGAAGAGGCGAGUGGAAUUCCCGGUGUGGCGGUGAAAUGCGCAGAUAUCGGGAGGAACACCAAUGGCGAAGGCAGCUCGCUGGGACGGUACUGACGCUGAGACGCGAAAGCGUGGGGAGCAAACAGG